AACAGGAUUAGAUACCCUGGUAGUCCACGCCGUAAACGAUGUCGACUUGGAGGUUGUGCCCUUGAGGCGUGGCUUCCGGAGCUAACGCGUUAAGUCGACCGCCUGGGGAGUACGGCCGCAGGGUUAAAACUCAAAUGAAUUGACGGGGGCCCGCACAAGCGGUGGAGCAUGUGGUUUAAUUCGAUGCAACGCGAAGAACCUUACCUGGUCUUGACAUCCACGGAAGUUUUCAGAGAUGAGAAUGUGCCUUCGGGAACCGUGAGACAGGUGCUGCAUGGCUGUCGUCAGCUCGUGUUGUGAAAUGUUGGGUUAAGUCCCGCAACGAGCGCAACCCUUAUCCUUUGUUGCCAGCGGUCCGGCCGGGAACUCAAAGGAGACUGCCAGUGAUAAACUGGAGGAAGGUGGGGAUGACGUCAAGUCAUCAUGGCCCUUACGACCAGGGCUACACACGUGCUACAAUGGCGCAUACAAAGAGAAGCGACCUCGCGAGAGCAAGCGGACCUCAUAAAGUGCGUCGUAGUCCGGAUUGGAGUCUGCAACUCGACUCCAUGAAGUCGGAAUCGCUAGUAAUCGUGGAUCAGAAUGCCACGGUGAAUACGUUCCCGGGCCUUGUACACACCGCCCGUCACACCAUGGGAGUGGGUUGCAAAAGAAGUAGGUAGCUUAACCUUCGGGAGGGCGCUUACCACUUUGUGAUUCAUGACUGGGGUGAAGUCGUAACAAGGUAACC
rnacentral:rRNA from 1 species